AUAAAGAGAGAAGGGUAAGAGAGGUACUUUACAAAUCAUUAAAAUAUAAAUAUUAUUUCACAUUUAAUCAAGAAAGCGAUGUCUAUGAAAAUCAAAAAUCUUUUUAUUUUUUUCUGAGUCAGGGUCUCACUCUGUCACCCAAGCUGAAGUGCAGUGGCAUGAUCAUAGUUCAUUGAAGCCUCAACCUCCCUUGCUCACGCCAUCCUCCCACCUCAGCUUCCCAAGUAGCUGGGAUAACAGGCUUAGGUCACCAUAGCUGGCUAAUUUUUGUAUUUUUUUAUAGAGACAGUGUUUUGCCCUGAUGCCAAUGCUGGUCUCAAACCACUCACCUAAGGCAGUCCACCCACCUUGACCUCCCAAAAUGCUAGGAUUACAGACAUGAGCCAUACUUGGCCCCUUAUUUUUUAAUGGUUACUUAUAACAAGAAGAGAUUAUUUUCAGUGAAGAUAGGAAUUGGAAGAUUUUGAAAAAUGUGUUUCUAUUGAGCAUUCACUUUUUCAUAGGUGUCAUAUUUCACAAUGAGAAUAGAAACAUAAAAGCCAGAUACUUUCAAUCAUGUAAUAAGUGCUAGAAGAGACUAAAAAAGAUGUAAUUAGUACAUGAUUAAGAAAUACCAGACUGAGCUGAUCAGGGAAGACUUUCCGAAGGAGGUAAAAUCUGAACUACUUUUUGAAUAAAUAUUAAUAGUUGAUCAGCUGAAAAAAGGAAAGGGCAUGUUAGGCAUUAGGAAUAGCAUAUAGAGAGCAUAAAGGAACAUGAAAAAUAUAAAUAUCUUAUACAGAUUAAGUACAUCUGUAAUUUCUAACAGAAAGGCUUAGAGCUCCCAGGAGACAUCAAGCCACAAGAGUAUAAGUGGAAAUGAAGUCCACACAAAGAGAGAGAGAGAGAGAGAAAAAGAAAGAGAAAGUGGAAACGGGUGAUAAGAAUUUCUUACCCUUUUUGCCAGCAUACCAGGUUUCUAGGUUCCCUUUCUUUGCAGCUUCCAGAAAACAUCUUUAUAAAAGAAAAUCACUCUUUUCUGUUUUAUGUAACCAUAGGAAAAAUAUUCUUAAUUUUGCAGGAUUCUGUCCAAUGAGCUGCCUGGAAAACUGAAUUAACAUUUUCCAUCCCAACAAAGUACACCUACCAAAACAGACACUAGUCAUAUCAUUUAGCACCCAAUAUUAACUUGGCAAAUCUCUAACUUUCUCUCAUUGGUCCCUGUUGUCUUCGAUCCACUUCAGGUGGGGAGGGAUGACCUCCGAAUUAUAAUUCAUAAUGGGUGGUCUCUGGGCAAGGUGAAGAGUGGACAGUUACCCUAAGACAGGCUGGUUGAGCUUUCUUCAGGGCUCACUGAAUGUGACCAGACCAGUAAGGUGGGUUCUCUGAGUGAGGGCUGUUGGACUUCCAUCAGCAGCAAUUCUUUCCAAGAUCUCCACAUAUACAAAAAUACACGAAGACAAGAUGAACAAAAGGCCUUCCAAAUCAGAUCUUUAACCAAUAACUCCAAAAGUAUUCCUUCCAAACUAUCCUCUUAUUCUCUGUCUGAGAAAUCUCCUCAAAAUCUUCCUGAUUGAGGAGAAGUCUCCAAAACCAAGACUCUUCAUACUAGUCAGGGAGAGCCAAGACCCCUUAGGAGCCAAACCAAGACAGAUGUUCCACAGUGGGACUAGAGACAAAUUGAGACCCCCAAAGGAGCCAAACCAAGACAGACAUCCUGUGGUGGAGCUACAAACAGAUACCCCAGCAUAGGGCUACAGAGAGAUAAACCACCAUGGGGCUACAAAACCAGUCAGUAGAAGGAAGAAGCCAUUGACAGUGCCUAGAAUCCUCACUAACCCAGAUGCCCCACUAUGGAGCUACAGACAUACCCUGUGUUAGGGCUACAGUGAAGAGAUGUCUCCCCAGGAUUACUUCUCUAUCGCAAUUAAAUCCAUGCAUAUUUGAUCGGUGCCCUGACAAUAAAUAUGGUACCAGAGUGAGCCCUCAGUCCAGGAGAACCAGAUGGCUGCUUGGGCCAACCUCUAGGUCCAUUGCUGGAGGGGGGCUACCAAACUAUGAGUAGGUAGCCACAAGGGCAAUCCUGGAUGAGCCCCCAAAUUUGUAACUGCCCAAUGAGCUCACCUUUCCCACUGCCUAGACUGAAUCGAUUUAUCAAGACAACAGAAUUGCAGUAGAUAAAGAUUAAUUUACACAGAGCUGGCUGCGCAGGAGACUGGAGUUUUAUUAUUAGCCAAAUCAGUCUCCAGAAUAGAUAUUUAAUUAGGAUAAAGAAUGUUGUCUUUUUCCUACAAACUCCCAUUAUGAUCCUUGGAAAUUUAGCAUUCACCUGCUGAUGCAAGUUUUAUUUUUCCUCUUGAGAUUACUUUGAAAAAAAAAUUAUGUUAACUACAUAGAAACAAAAAAAACUGAACUAUGUUUUAGUGAAUGUACACAACUUCCAGAGGUUUUCACAGUUGUUUCAUAAUAGCCUAAUAUUAACCCUGUGAAGUAGGUUAUUUACACUCACAUUUUUCAGCAUAGAAUCCUCAGGCUAAGAAAUAACAAACACAUUACAGUUCACAUUGACAAGUCCUAAGACAUCUGUCCUGGUAAUUUUUUGCUUUUGCCUUGGACUUCCAUGGCUUCAGUUGCUACUUAAAACUACCCCAAAUUUGUAUUUCUAGCCUAGACCUGUAUCUCUUAAACUCAAAAGAAACAUUCUCAAUUGUUAAUAGUCGUGGUCACUGGAAAACCACAGCAGCACCUCAACGUCUAAUCCUUUCUUCUCCAUUCCAGAUCCCAACUUCAUAUUUCAAUAAUUGGCAAUGUCCGACUUCUUCCUUACACUCCUGUACUCAAUCAUGAAAUCCUGUUGUCUCUUAAUCCUAAAUAUUAUUACAUCCAGAUAAUUAUCUCCAUUUCUACUGCUACUACUCUAGUACAUGACACUAAAUCUUUUACUUAAAGUACUAUAAAACAGCUUUUCCUUUCUGCUUCUGGACUUGUUUGCUUAAAGUGCCUUUCUACAAUAUAGGCAGCGGCAGUCUCAAAGUGCCUAUCUGAUCGGGACAUCCUCUCUUUUAAGCCUGUCCAUCAAAUCCUAUAAAUCUUCUUUAGAAAGUAUUUAUAAAGCCUUCCAUCAUUUAUGCCCUGCCUAGAUCUACAGCCUCGCCAAGAUGCCUCUCACACUCUGAAUGCCUGCCCAAUAAAAUGAACUUCUACUCAUUUCUAGAAGUACCCAUACUCGUACAUCUCCAAACAUUCACCCAUUAGGCUUACCUUACGUGGAACAUACCUUUCUGCCUCUCCACAUUUGUUUGCCCAAACUCUAGGGCUAAAUUUCACUCCUCCUACUCAUUGUUCAGUUUUCAUUUAAUCUCUUGUAUUUUCAAAAGUCGUGUAUGACUGCUGAAGUAAGUUAGGCACUUUAAAACUAGUUUGUCUAACUCAUGAAUUUAUUCUUUGACUUAUUUGAGAAAGGGUAUCUAUAAACUCAGUAAAACAAAUGGUUAAGAACAUAAAGUCUGAAGCCAAAGUCUGCAUUUAAUAUAGACUUGGACCCUGUUGGCAGUGCGAAUUUAUAGAAGUCGCUCUACAUCUCUUUAUCUCAGUUUUUCCAUCUUUAAAAAGAGAAAUAUUAUAGUACUUUCUGCAAACAACUUUGGAGGAUUAAUAAAUAUGUCUGUAUAUAAAACUGUGUCCAACAGAGAGUGUGUGACAUGCUGCCCUUUAAAUAGUAUUGCUAUUUGCCAGACACAGUAUGCAGCACUCAGAUGUGAUGACAAGAGAGGCAAGGUUCCCACUCUUGUGGAAUUUAUAAUCUAGCAGAAAAAAAAGAGAUAUCAAAAAAACCCAUAUAAAUGAUAUAAAUACCGACAUGUCAGCUGUGAUGAAAUAAAAGUACAGACUGCAGGAAGUCUGGGAUAGGGCUAUCCAGUGUAGGCAAAAGGUUGGCUUGGAAAGUGACAUUUAUCCUGAGACCUGAAGGUUGCAUGGAAUUCAGUCAAGCAAAGCAGGGAAGAAAAUAGUAACAGAAGAGAAAAGCGGCCCAGAAGGAGAUCCUGUGCUUUGUCUCUCACAGCACUCAUGAUGCUUUAUUUUCAUGACUUUUGUGGUACCAUUGGCCAGCCUCCGCCUGACCCUACACAGAAAAAAAAAAAAAAACUAAAUAAAAUCUGAAAAGUAUGAGCUCAAUAGCUGUAGCUCCCUUACAGCCCUGUUCUAGUCUCGACAGUAAGUGCACAUCCAGCAAAUGGGAAUUAAUUCUUGUUAAAUCCUUGAUAUCCAUCAAUUAAUCAAAGAGUUAUCAAAGGUUUAAUUCAACAGCUCAUUAUUAAACAUUUAGAAGAAUAAAUACCCUUGAAAGAGAAGGUGGAUAUACUUUUCAUAUACUUUGUAUAGGAAAAACUACUAUAUCCUUUUUUUUUUUUAAGAUGAAGUUUCACUCUUGUCAUUUAGGAUGGAGUGCAAUGGUGCAAUUUUGGAUCACUGCAACCUCUCACCUCCUGGAUUCAAGUGAUUCUCCAUCCUCAGCUACCCAAGAAGCUGGAAUUACAGGUGUGUGCCACCAUGCCCACUGAAUUUUUUUCUUUUUCUUUUUUGUUUUAAUUUUUAGUAGAGAUGUGGUUUCACUAUGUUAGCCAGGCUGGUCUCGAACUCCUGACCUCAGGUGAUCUGCCCACCUCAGCCUCCCAAAGUGCUGGAAUUACAGGCAUGAGCCACUGCCCCCAGACUAUUAGGUAAAUUUUAAUGUGGGCAUACAAGCAGCCCAAGAUGGCACUGCCAUGCCUCUGAUGGCUCCAUUUCUUACAGUACCAUUGCUCUCUACCAGUAGCCAUCACAGACUCUCUGAUGCAGGCUCUGGUGUUCUUUCUGGCCACACUAGCAUACAAGUUUAUUUAUAGAUAAGUAUCUAGGCUGGGAAAUGUGCCAACAACUUUCAUUAUCAGCCAAAGAAAAAUUAUCAGCAAAGUCUAAAUUUUAAAUGGAACCAGCUAAAAAAAGAUUCUAAUUGUUGUCUUUGUGCCCCCAAAAAUGAGUAGCUUUGAACCUGAUUCAGCUAAGAUUCUGAGUAAAAGGGUGGGAUCCAAUUUACUCCAAUGCAUAUUAGCAGAUAAUGGUGGGGUUCUAUUUUUGUUCCCUAGAGGCUGUAUGGGCUUAUUUAUAUUCAUCUCUGAAAAAUGAAAAGCAUCUUUGAAAAGACUACAGUUCCUGGAUCAAAAACACUUGGUUCUGGGGGCCCCAAUUUCUUACCAGCAUCGCUUCUCUCAGUGAGAAUAUUCACGAUGUUCUUCAAGCUAGAGGUCAGGUUCGUACAUAUUAAAACUUUUACGGAACUGGGACAAAGAUCCCAACCAGUAGCAACCAUUAAACUCUAUCUUUCAGCAGCUAGAUUAAAAUAAUCAUUUGAAGCUCAGAGACAGUGCUGGUUUGCUUUUGCAUUAGAGGAAAGGAGGAGGAAUAGGAGCAGAUACGAAGAAAAAAAUGCCUACAGUUUUCUUGUAUAAUCUGUAAAUGUGAUUGCAUUGCUAGAAAGAAGAAAAUUAAUUUUUUUCUCAAAGAUUUUUAAGCUCUUUAUCAAGACUAUAAUUCUGAGAUUUGCCCUGAAGAAAAGUGCAGCUGUUUGUUUAAGCAAUGAAGCUUCCAUCUGUUUCAUCUUGAUUUAAAGAUGCAGUUUUUAAAAUAAAACCACAAGGCAAUGUUUAUUGAAAGCACAAAAUCUUUCUACUUAUCACCAAAGUAAAAUAUAGAUUAAAACAACAAGCCUAGAAAGAUAGGAUUUUACACAAUCCAAUGUCACUUCAUUUGCAAAAUUUUCAUUUGAAAUGU
rnacentral:lncRNA from 1 species